CUCCGGGAAGGGUUCCUGGGGCCCAGCCAUGGACUGGGCGUGCAGCCCUGCAUAGCAGGCCCCCUCCUGGAGCUCCUGUCCACCCUGCCAACUGGGGCUGACUUGGUGGUCUGGGGUGUGACAGACUGGAGAAAGAACACGGCCCCCUGACCUUGGAAGCUGUCUGAGAGAGAUUUCAAGGUAUAAAGCGGAAAAGAAAAUGAAUGAAAACAUCACAAAGCUGCCCGUCCAUCACAUGCUGACAGUGUGGCCGCUGACCGACUGCAGGGCUGGGGAGAUGCAGGGAGGACUUGAGUCAGCGGGAUGGGGCCCCAGUGCGGCUCCAUGAGUCGGCGAUAUGCACAUGGGCAUGCAGGACACUCCUCGGCAGCGAGUGGUAAAGCAGAGCAUCAUUGUUUGGCUCUCUUUGGGGCUUGAGGACAGAAGACAAAGCUCAGAGCGUGGCCAUGCUGGGGGGCUAACAGAAGACCACCUCCAUGAAUCCUGGGCUCCCACAGGCUCCCUUCAAGUGGACUGUGCGAGGCUGGAGGCAGAACCCACGUAUGGCUGGCUCCCGGUGAAUCCUUGGGGUUGGGAAAGCUGCUUGGCACUCAGUGACCACUCAGGAAGGAGGUGGUGUUCAAGCUGGCCCCUUGCUUCCUGCUAGGCCAGGCCAGCCUCAGGGGAAGACAGAAAGCCCCAGAGAAGAGCAGGUGUCCUGACGCUGAGGCGGGGACGUCCCCAAGCCCUGUAACAUGCACACUGCAAUCCGGAGGCCAGCACACGUCUGCCUCUGAGGUCCUGUUCACAUGUUCAGGUGACCUCGAACCCUCCCUCUCUGAGGGAGGUGGGAGAAGAGCCCAAGCAGCCUCCCCCUUCCUCCACGCUCAGACCUUGAACACACCAGGCACACCCCUCUCUCUCCUGUCCUGGAACACGUGCCAGUGGCACAGGUGAGGAGAGUUGUCUGUCGGCCCCUCCUCUCCACGGGGGCAGAGUGGUGGUUGCUCUGACGGGAAGGUUGCCAGAGGUUGCGGGGAGGUUCAGGGACCGAGGGCCAUCGGACUCAGGACCGUGGAAUCUGAACUGUCACAGACGAGGCGCCUGGCGGCUUACAUGGUUCAGUCUGCUUUGCUUUUCUGGUUUCAGUCUCAAACCUGCCUCUUCCAGACAGCCUUCCUUGCUUGCUUCCUUGAUCCAUCAUUCGUCAUCCAUCAGAUACGCUUGAUUUGAAGCAUACUGUUUCUUUGGCAAAUGGGGGUGUUCGGUGCUGUGACCGGGGUGAAUGCCCCCUGACAGUAAGGGCCCUCUAGAACACUCCAGAGUCUACCUUGCUUGCCUAUGACCACUGAUAAUGAAAAUAAUAAAGAUGCCAUUUUUUAGAUGUCAUUUAAAAAAUACCAUGCUGAGCGCUUUGUAUUCGCUUAUCUCAUGCAAUCCUGGCAGUGCCCACAGGAAGUGGGCACCAUCACAUAUGGCAAACUGAGGCUGAGAGAACAGAACACAGGGAGCUUGCGGCGGCCGCAGAGGGCCAGCUGCGGCUCAGGCGUUUCCUCUCCUGGGCCCCUGAUGCCUCCCCCACCCUGGCCGCUGGCCUCCUCUGCCUUGUUCACUUCCUCAGGACCUUUCUGGUUCAGCCAGCCUCCGACUCGAUUGGCCCUAACAGGCCGGACUGGGGCAGUGGAUGAGGCUGCCAUUCCAUCAAAGAUGCUCUUACCGGAGAUGAGAACAGAGACAGGAAAUUUCAGUAGCAGAUAUAACAGAGGCCACGCACAGAGACAGCCCGGGCGAAAACUCUUCAUGCACAAACAGAGGAUGUCUUGCCAGGGGCCGUGCCAGCCUCACCCCAGCUCCAAGGAGGGGGAGGGGCAUCUGCAAUAGACUGUUUUGUCUGCAUUUCUGAUGUUUAUAAUACUUCUCCGUUUGGGCCACUGGAGGUACCAGCUGGGUUCCAAGGGCAUGUGCGCGGGGAGGGAGUGUGGCACGGGCCGGCGUUGGCUGCCUCUGCCUCUCGCUCUGCGGGGCCUGUAAGCCAGGCCAUGGCUGGGAAGGCUGCAGUGGGGCCUGUGUCUGCCCCACCCCCGGUUCAGAAAGGGUCCGGUAUGGGGGGGAACACACCACCCCCACCCCCACGCCCUGUGUACUGGGCGCUGCAGCCCCUCUACCUGUGUCUUGGUUUAACCCAGGACCCCCAGACCCACAUGUCCAGGGAGCCGGGCCAUUCCUCUUGUUUCCUGCAGAUGUGCAGACCCCUGCAGUAGCUGUUAACCAUCGGGGUAGGCUUGCCUGGCAAAACCCAGGGCACCGAGUCAAAUUGGAAUUUCAGAUCAACAGUGAAUCAUUUUUUGGUGUAGGGCACCUGCAGUCUUCAGGGUGAAGUCUGAGCUCUUGGAGACCGCCAGUCCACCCACGGCGCAGCCCUGCUCGCCCCAGAGCGCACCCCCAUCUCCAGCACAUGCUCAGAUCCUGCCUUUCUUCCUCCUGCCUACUCCCUGCAAGAACGGACUCCCUCCUUUGUUCUGGUCGAUGCCUGGCUCACUCCAGCUGCUGCUGCCUAAACAGCACGUCUGUGGGGAGUCUUCCCUCGUGCCCUGGGCCCCUGGGCAGGCUGAGGUGCUCCUAAGCUGGGCCCAAGUCUGGCCCAGUGUUCAACAAACACUGGCUGAAUGAAUGACUUUGUUAAAGAAUGAAUGAAAGUCCAGGGCGGUGGGACCGCUGCACAUUUCAGUCUGGCACGUGGGAGCCCAGCUCCCUCUCCAAACGGGGAAACCAGAUCCCGCUGUGUGUGCAGAUUUGGGUAAGAGGCAGGCAACCCACCAUGGGCCCCCCAGAGUCCCUGAGGAUCCCGUCCACCUCUCCGCCCCUUGGAGGUGCCUGCUCGGACCCAGUCCCCUGGCCCCCAGCCCCCAGCCUUAGCUCCCAGUAGGAGGAGAAAAUGUGUGGUGAGGAAAUGUGAUUAGAUGUCAGGUGCUAGGAGAG